rnacentral:lncRNA from 1 species
GAUACUAUCCAUAGUUUCAUUAAAAUAAGCAACCAACACAACAAAAAACAGAAUCUGUUAACAGUAGACCACUCUGUAGCAAUCUGUAUAUUUCGUAUACUUAUGUUACUUUAAAAAUUCUGAAAAAUUAUGGCAGUCUGAAGAAUAUGCGUAGAAAUAAGCAGCAAAAAGAAUCAACUCAAAAGCUCUUACAGAAGAAAAUGAAAAUUAUUUUCGUGAGCAGAAAGUUUCUG